AGAAAAGGUGUAUUUAAGAAUAUCAAUUUUUGAUGAUCCCAAACACAAAACAGAAAAAGAAAAUAAAUGAAAUGAAACAUUAUACAUGGAUAUAUCUCCAUUGGACAUGUAAUCAUCAAUUUUAAGAUUCUAUUUCUGAAGCUACACUUGGAAUGAACUCUCUUAACAGAUGCAGAAAAGAUGACAUUAUCCUGUGAUCCUCCAAUUAUGAGUAUCUGCAAAAAAAUAUUAAAAAAUGGAUCAUUAUCAACAAGAAGUUUCAAGUAAAAGUAAUAAAUUAGAUUAUAUCAUUACAUGUACUUACUCCUGCUCUUUCACCUCAUUAGUUGUUUCCACAACAUCAACACAAACAACAUCAUAGAGAUGACACAUCUCGCUUAAUGCUUCAUCGUGAUUUGAAUCUUUUUUACCUUUCCUCCUCAUCCAAUUUGUUCAAUAUCAUAUGAUAUAUAUUCAGAAUCCAUAAUUUACAUUCAAAAAGCAAUAAUUAAUUAUCAAAUAGCAAUGGAAUGUAUAAAAGUAAAUAUGAAAACAUUUCAAGAUAUAAAGACGGCAAAAAAGAAAAAACCGAAUUAGAAAUAUAUUAAUAUAUUACAUGUUCAGAGGACAUACAUGUCACAUAUAAUAUAUUACAUGAUCUGAUAACAAUAGAUCAUCAUUUUAAGGAAAAUCAUGUACAAUACAUGUAUCAUUAGUUGACAAUACAAUAUAUACAUAUUGCAAUUGUAUAUAGUUUUUUUACUAUAAUUAAAUAUAAUGAAUAAAAAUUAUGAAGCACAUAUCAGUUUUUUAAGUGCUUAGCCCACCUUUAUGGUGAGUUAAUCAAGAUCUGGAUUGAUAAACAAUUCAUUAGAAGACAUGUCUGAAAAUAAUCAUUUUGGCAUUGAACAAUCUAAGAGACAGAUGUUUUAAUACUGAAAGUGAAUGGUAUAACCACAACAUCAUACUCUUAACAACAACUCUUGGCUCACCUUGAAGAACCAUGUAUUUUGUGCCACCAAUGAAGCUUGUGGACAGAACCAUGUAUUUUGUGCCACAAAUAUUCCUGUUUAAGGCUGCUUUCUUUCUUGCAAUGCUCUUCUUGGGCACAAA
rnacentral:lncRNA from 1 species